rnacentral:rRNA from 1 species
GACGAACGCUGGCGGCGUGCUUAACACAUGCAAGUCGAACGGAAAGGCCCUGCUUUUGUGGGGUGCUCGAGUGGCGAACGGGUGAGUAACACGUGAGUAACCUGCCCUGGACUUUGGGAUAACUUCAGGAAACUGGGGCUAAUACCGGAUAGGAGCUCCUGCUGCAUGGUGGGGGUUGGAAAGUUUCGGCGGUUGGGGAUGGACUCGCGGCUUAUCAGCUUGUUGGUGGGGUAGUGGCUUACCAAGGCUUUGACGGGUAGCCGGCCUGAGAGGGUGACCGGCCACAUUGGGACUGAGAUACGGCCCAGACUCCUACGGGAGGCAGCGGUGGGGGAUAUUGCACAAUGGGCGGAAGCCUGAUGCAGCAACGCCGCGUGCGGGAUGACGGCCUUCGGGUUGUAAACCGCUUUCGCCUGUGACGAAGCGUGAGUGACGGUAAUGGGUAAAGAAGCACCGGCUAACUACGUG